UACAGAGGGGGCAAGCGUUGUUCGGAAUUACUGGGCGUAAAGGGCGCGUAGGCGGCCUGCUAAGUCGAACGUGAAAUCCCUGGGCUCAACCCAGGAACUGCGUCCGAUACUGGUUGGCUUGAAUCCGGGAGAGGGAUGUGGAAUUCCAGGUGUAGCGGUGAAAUGCGUAGAUAUCUGGAGGAACACCGGUGGCGAAGGCGGCAUCCUGGACCAAUUCUGACGCUGAGGAGCGAAAGCCAGGGGAGCAAACGGG
rnacentral:rRNA from 1 species